GCUAUGCGCUGGUUGUAUCAUCACUCCCAACUUCAGGGUGAUCUUGGUGAUGGAGUGAUCAUUGGCAUGUCAAGAAUGGAGCACCUUCAGCAAAACCUGGCUGCUGCAGAGGAGGGUCCUCUGGAUCAAAGAGUAGUUGCCACUUUCAAUGAGGCCUGGAAUCUUGUUGCCCACGUGUGUCCAAACUACAUCCGUUGACCAGCCAAAAUAGUUCCAUGAAAUUUUAUACAAGUUUAUAGAGAAAAGAGAUCUGAUAAAGCCCCUUUCCCUUAGUUUUCUAAGCUACUUGUACCUUUUCCUGAAAUCAAAUAGAUAAGUUAAUUGGUAGUAAUGUGAGGAGCACUUCAUUGCAAAUGUACUACUGUAAAAAAAUAAGAUUUUUUUUUAGGGAAACAUACAUUUUUCUGGAGUCUGCCUUAAUACAACUAUUACAUUAAAAAGAAAACCGAUUUGA